CAAGGAAACAAGCCCAAAUUAUUUUUUUCCAAAAAAAAAAAAAAAGUACAACGUAGCCAAAGUACUGCAGUUUAGAGGAGAGAGGCAGUAAGCAGUGAAAAAAAGUCCACAGAGGGCUUCUGUUCUGUUAGGACAAUAAAAGCCUCUCAGUGACAAUGCAGAAGCUUAUGUGUGGAAACUGAAGAAAGGGGAAGGUCAAGUUCUCCUGACUGAUGAUCAGGUGGGAUUUCCAUUCUUGCACAGACAUGUGCCAAUAUGACAAGCUCACCGUUUUUUUCCAUUUGUCUAUGCCGAGUCCAUGUUCAGGAUAGUGACUGCUCAGACAUAGAGACCUCUAUCCUCCUCUCAGUUGUCCUCCCUUCAUCCUGAAUUUAUCCUUUUCUACAAACUGUAAAAUUUGAGGCUUCUGUCCAUUCCUGCAGAG